rnacentral:lncRNA from 1 species
CUGUAUGUUGUUACGUCUCAGGGGUCCUUCGGCAUCGGGCCUGUCAAUGUCUGGCUGUUCCAGCCAUGGCCUGGAGGCCCCUCCACCCAUGUCCCGCUCCCACCGGCUGGCAGCACCUCUCUCAGGCCCAACUGCCCCUGGCAGACCAGCUCAUGCUAGGGUCCUGCUCCCUGGGGGGGGGGUCUCUGACACCAGGGGUCAUCCACCAGCCAACCAGCAGCAGGCCUGGGGGAGGGCAGACAGGCCAGGGCCUCAUCCACAACUGGGCCCAACAACCUUCCAAUGAGGGGGCAUGGCCCAUCCAGCUUUUAGGAAGGAGCUGUGCAGCGGCAGGGGGAGGGCAGACAGGCCGGGCCUCAUCCACAACUGGGCCCAACAACCUUCCAAUGAGGGGGGCAUGGCCCAUCCAGCUUUUAGGAAGGAGCUGCCCAGCGGCAGGGGGAGAGCAGUCCCUGAGGGAGGAGCCAUAAACCACACUUGUCCAUGGGGGAAGUGGCUAGCUCGGCUCCCCUCAGUCUCCUGGGGCGGCUGAGAGGAUGGAGGAGAGGAAGACAUAGAAGGGGGAGUGCUCCCAAACCAAGGUGGCCACGGGCAGUUGGGGACCAGCCUUGUUGGGCAUCCGCUGGGCAUGCCCUGAAAAGAGCUGGGAUGCAGAGAGGGUACUGCCAGGUAUUUGAGACCACCUUGAACAGCGGAGCCCACUCUCCCGAGGUGCCAUUGGAAGAAUAAAACGUGAGCCAGUCCUGGCUGCAGGAUACAGAAGAGUCUGCUUCCGGGCCAGUUUGUCCUUGGAGGAUACUUCCACCUCCCAGGCCCUCAGGUUGGAAACCUUGGAGUCGCCCUGGACACCACACUCUCUCACCCACUAUCUCUCAGCCAUGUGCCAAGGCCUGUGCCUGUCACCUUGGCAGCAUCUUUCCCCUGCUACCCCAACCCUCCUCCCAGACCCUCCUUCAGCCAUACCUGGACCCAGACUGAGGCAGUCCGAGUUUCUGCCUGUCUCACUCCAGCCCCAUUCUGGGACUCAGUGAUCCUGCUAGCUCUGGGCCCCCCUCCCCCAAUGUACUCCAAGACCAAAUGAAAAAUUCGGUUUGUUAUCUAAGUCGUUCAUCACGUGAGCCCCUCUCUUGGUCUUCUUACUGCCCCCCCCCAAUAAAAGAACACCCUCCAAGAGGUACCUGUCUCCAGACACAGAUUGCCUCCCGGCUGUGGUCAUUUCCCAGGGCUCCCCCCCUUCCCUGAAUCC